CCUCUCUCCUGACUGGUUCACUCGCCUCAUCUAACUAACGCAUCCUUGGGGAAACACACUUUUAAGCACACACACACACACACACACGUUGAAGCUCCGCUCAGCAGCAGCAGGGAGUGAACAGCCAGCUCUCGGUUUAUCCCCGCCAUUCCCCGGUACAGUAACUUCCUCAGCAUCUCCCGGCCUCUGCAGAGAGAGAGAGAGAGAGAGAGAGAGAGAGAGAGAGACCACCGCCCGACAACCCAACUGGAAACCGGCCCCGCCGCUCUAUAGUAACGGACUGACCGACCGAAUAUAAACCCGGAGAAGGGAAGAGGUCUAUCUAGUGCUCAACAUCCCGUUAUCGCCGGUAGAAUAUACUUCAGACUGCGGAUUUAAGCCGUCACAUUGGCCAGUUGUCCAUUUGGACGGAGAGAGAGAGAGAGAACCGGUAGUGCGCAGUGUGAGAACACAACAGAAACCACUUGACGCCGAAAAAGUCCCGGGCACUUUCCCCCCGGUAUUUUAGGAAACAGAAGGGACGCGUCUCACUUUACCGAAAUACCGACGCCGGUUAGCCUAAAACGGAGCCGGUGUGAGCAACAGCUACCACCGGAAGAAAAAAGAAAAAAAAAUCAGUGAGGUUGCCAGGGUAACCUCCCCCAGCCAAUCAGCAGUCAUGGAUGAGAUGGAUCUACCCCAGAUGAAGAAGGAAGUGGAGAGCCUGAAAUACCAACUGGCCUUCAAGAGAGAGAAGUCUUCCAAGACAGUCACUGAGUGAGUUACUACUACUACACUACUACUAUUACUACACUACUACACUACUACACUACUACAAAUACCAACUGGCCUUCAAGAGAGAGAAGUCUUCCAAGACAGUCACUGACAUGGUGAAGUGGAUCGAGGACGGCGUACCCGAGGACCCCUUCCUGAACCCUGAACUCAUGAAGAACAACCCCUGGGUGGAAAAGGGAAAGUGUGUCCUGUUGUAGACUGAUUACCGACCCCUGACCCUGCCGUGACCUCUGACCCCAGCCUGAUGGGGCAUGGCAGGACAGCACCCCCCCCCUGCUAGUUUCAGCCACGUUGAUGCAUCACAGAUUACCUUUAAUUCUAUGUUGAUAUGAUAUGAAGUGUAUUUAUGCAGCCAGUCACUCACUCACUCAGUCAGCCAGUCACUCACUCACUCAGUCAGCCAGUCACUCACUCAGUCACUCACUCACUCACUCACUCAGUCAGCCAGUCACUCACUCAGUCACUCACUCAGUCAUCCAGUCACUCACUCAGUCAGCCAGUCAGCCAGUCACUCAGUCAUCCAGUCACUCACUCACUCAGCCAGUCAGUUAUUCAGCCAGCCAGUCAGUUAGUCAGUCAGCCAGUCAGUCAGUCAGCCAGUCAGUUAGUCAGCCAGUCAGUCAGCCAGCCAGCUAGUCAGCCAGCCAGUCAGUCAGCCAGUCAGCCAGCCAGUCAGUCAGCCAGUCAGCCAGUCAGCCAGUCAGUCAGUCAGUCAGCCAGUCAGUCAGCCAGUCAGUCAGCCAGCCAGUCAGUCAGCCAGUCAGUCAGCCAGUCAGUCAGUCAGCCAGUCAGUCAGUCAGCCAGUCAGUCAGCCAGUCAGUCAGUCAGCCAGUCAGUCAGCCAGUCAGUCAGCCAGUCAGUCAGCCAGCCAGUCAGCGCAACACGGACGGGAACGGACACGGAAACACACACACACAGCACACACACACACACACACACACACACACACACACACACACACACACACACACACACACACACACACACACACACACACACACUGUACAGACGAGCCCCUUUAACUUGUUAUUAAAUUAUUGAUUGUGUUUUUUUUGUUUUAUUUAUGUAUUUAUUGAUAAGCUCCUCCGCACGGCGGCCAUGUUGUGUUGUCUAUCGCCCCACGCUCCCAACAACAACAACUGUACUGGCCAGGGAUAUACCAUACACCAUCGCUCUGGCCCCAACGUACGUGUGUGUGUGUGUGUGUGUGUGUGUGUGUGUGUGUGUGUGUGUGUGUGUGUGUGUGUGUGUGUGUGUGUGUGUGUGUGUGUGUGUGUGUGUGUGUGUGUGUGUGUGUGUGUGUGUGUGUGUGUGUGUGUGUGUGUGUGUGUGUGUGUGUGUGUGUGUCUGUGUGUGUCUGUGUGUGUGUGUGUGUGUGUGUCUGUGUCUGUGUCUGUGUGUGUGUUAGCGUGUGUGUGUGUGUGUGUGUGUGUGUGUGUGUGUGUGUGUGUGUGUGUGUGUGUGUGUGUGUGUGUGUGUGUGUGUGUGUGUGUGUGUGUGUGUGUGUCUGUGUGUCUGUGUGUGUCUGUGUGUGUGUGUGUGUGUGUGUGUGUGUGUGUCUGUGUCUGUGUCUGUGUGUGUGUUAGCGUGUGUGUGUGUGUGUGUGUGUGUGUGUGUGUGUGUGUGUGUGUGUGUGUGUGUGUGUGUGUUAGCGUGUGUGUGUGUGUGUGUGUGUGUGCAGUGCUUAAUUUGAUCCCGUCACCUCUCCGUUUUGAACCGUUUUGUUUCCGGAAUCUAUUUGAUUGGAUCCAGAACCUCUCGUGACAUGAAAAAUAAUUUCCACUUCUUUGCAAUAAAAAAAUAAUAAUAAUAAUUAAAAGUUGUCUCUUCAUUACCUCUCCUGCCCCUAAAGAAAACCGUAAUGUGAAAAAGCUGAUUUUCAGUCCGCGGUUUAAUAUUCUCCGAGUUGAUUUGGGUUGAGACCGGACCAGGUUCUUACGUAACAUUUUAUAAUCUAUAUUUGAGACCGACGCGCGACGGUAAGUUAGAAGUGUAGAAAUGCGUCAUACUAGAACUAGAUUCUCUUCUCUAUGAAUCUAUGCUGUAAGCUGCCCCCCCCCCCCCCCCCCAAAAAAAAUUAUUGAAUCAACUUCUAAAUAUUGUUCUACAAAACAAAACAAAAAAUAGAGAGUCAGAGAUGGAGAUAAGGCUUAUGGAAGGAGCGCGGUCGUCGACAAUCACCAGCGAGUCACUUGUGUUUCAGUGAAACUGGAAAGCAUUUUGUGUUUUUGGUGGCGAUAAUUUCCUCGUAUUGUAGCCUAUAAUAUGUGUCUCCACACACCGAGGCCUCAGGUUAUUGAUGAAUUCAAAACAAGGCCGUUUUUUAAAAUAUAUUGAUCUCUAAUUCUCUAGUUUUGUCAGUGUCAAAGUAGACUGUCGUUUUUUUGAUCAUUUGGUAUUAAAGAAUAUUCUGACCAAAGUCUCCAGUCGUGUAAAAAAACGACGUAGAAUCGCAUUUAAUGCGUUUUUAAAGGGACAACAUUUCCCCCCGGACCCUAGGAUACUGAAAAUGUUCCCCGGACCCUAGGAUACUGAAAAUGUUCCCCGGACCCUAGGAUACUGAAAAUGUUCCCCGGACCCUAGGAUACUGAAAAUGUUCCCCGGACCCUAGGAUACUGAAAAUGUUCCCCGGACCCUAGGCUUCUGAAAAUGUCCCCCUGGACCCUAGACUACUGAAAAUGUUCCCUGGACCCUAGGAUACUGAAAAUGUUCCCAGGACCCUAGACUACUGAAAAUGUUCCCCGGACCCUAGGCUACUGAAAAUGUUCCCUGGACCCUAGGAUACUGAAAAUGUUCCCCGGACCCUAGGAUACUGAAAAUGUUCCCCGGACCCUAGGAUACUGAAAAUGUUCCCCGGACCCUAGGCUUCUGAAAAUGUCCCCCUGGACCCUAGACUACUGAAAAUGUUCCCUGGACCCUAGGAUACUGAAAAUGUUCCCAGGACCCUAGACUACUGAAAAUGUUCCCCGGACCCUAGGCUACUGAAAAUGUUCCCCGGACCCUAGACUACUGAAAAUGUUCCCAGGACCCUAGGCUACUGAAAAUGUCCCCAGACCCUAGGGUACUGAAAAUGUUCCCUGGACCCUAGGCUACUGAAAAUGUUCCCCUGGACCCUAGGCUAAUGAAAAUGUUCCCUGGACCCUAGGCUACUGAAAAUGUCCCCAGACCCUAGGGUACUGAAAAUGUUCCCUGGACCCUAGGCUACUGAAAAUGUUCCCCUGGACCCUAGGCUAAUGAAAAUGUUCCCUGGACCCUAGGCUACUGAAAAUGUUCCCCGAACCCUAGGCUACUGAAAAUGUUACCCGAACCCUAGGCUACUGAAAACGUUCCUCAUGUGUGCACCUUGUGUAGGUGCCUCUACUAUACGAUUUGAUUUGAUUUGAUAUACUGCUCUAUGCCGCUACGCUAAUGUGAGGAUAUGAAUGCUUUAUUAUAAAAUUAGAAUUUUCUUUUUUUCACCUCCCGAUUUACAAAUUAAGCACUGUGUGUGUGUGUGUGUGUGUGUGUGUGUGUGUGUGUGUGUGUGUGUGUUGUGUGUUGUGUGUUGUGUGUUGUGUGUUUUGUGUGUGUGUGUGUGUGUGUGUGUGUGUGUUAGUAUGGAUGAAAGGUAGAUGGUCCUUGAAGAUCUUUAGUGUUUAGGAACAACUUCAUGCUAUGAAAAAAAGGGUGAAAGGUUUGGGCGGAAUAGAAGCAUCGGUCGUCUAUUAUUUACGUUACUAUGACAACGGUGGACCGGACCGGGUCUGUCUAUGUACCCAUUUGUUUGAAUUACCACAGCUAGAACCCGUGGAACCGUCUAGACGUGCCACAGCUAGAACCCGUGGGAACCGUCUAGACGUGCCACAGCUAGAACCUGUGGGAACCGUCUAGACGUGCCACAGCUAGAACCCGUGGAACCUCUGAGACGUGCCGCAGAUAGAACCCGUAGAACAGUCUAGACGUGCCGCAGAUAGAACCCG
rnacentral:lncRNA from 1 species